rnacentral:rRNA from 1 species
GAGUUUGAUCAUGGCUCAGGAUGAACGCUGGCGGCGUGCUUAACACAUGCAAGUCGAACGAACCUUCGGGUUAGUGGCGGACGGGUGAGUAACGCGUGAGAAUCUGCCCUCAGGAGGGGGAUAACGGUUGGAAACGACCGCUAAUACCCCAUAUGCCGAGAGGUGAAAUGAAUUUCGCCUGAGGAUGAGCUCGCGUCUGAUUAGUUAGUUGGUGGGGUAAUGGCCUACCAAGACAUCGAUCAGUAGCUGGUCUGAGAGGAUGAUCAGCCACACUGGGACUGAGACACGGCCCAGACUCCUACGGGAGGCAGCAGUGGGGAAUUUUCCGCAAUGGGCGAAAGCCUGACGGAGCAACGCCGCGUGAGGGAUGAAGGCCUCUGGGCUGUAAACCUCUUUUAUCAAGGAAGAAGAUCUGACGGUACUUGAUGAAUAAGCCACGGCUAAUUCCGUGCCAGCAGCCGCGGUAAUACGGGAGUGGCAAGCGUUAUCCGGAAUUAUUGGGCGUAAAGCGUCCGCAGGCGGUCUGUCAAGUCUGCUGUUAAAGCGUGGAGCUUAACUCCAUUUCGGCAGUGGAAACUGACAGACUAGAGUGUGGUAGGGGCAGAGGGAAUUCCCGGUGUAGCGGUGAAAUGCGUAGAUAUCGGGAAGAACACCAGUGGCGAAGGCGCUCUGCUGGGCCAUAACUGACGCUCAUGGACGAAAGCCAGGGGAGCGAAAGGGAUUAGAUACCCCUGUAGUCCUGGCCGUAAACGAUGAACACUAGGUGUCGGGGGAAUCGACCCCCUCGGUGUCGUAGCCAACGCGUUAAGUGUUCCGCCUGGGGAGUACGCACGCAAGUGUGAAACUCAAAGGAAUUGACGGGGGCCCGCACAAGCGGUGGAGUAUGUGGUUUAAUUCGAUGCAACGCGAAGAACCUUACCAGGGUUUGACAUCCUGCGAAUCUCUUGGAAACGAGAGAGUGCCUUCGGGAGCGCAGUGACAGGUGGUGCAUGGCUGUCGUCAGCUCGUGUCGUGAGAUGUUGGGUUAAGUCCCGCAACGAGCGCAACCCACGUCGUUAGUUGCCAGCAUUUAGUUGGGCACUCUAGCGAGACCGCCGGUGAUAAACCGGAGGAAGGUGUGGAUGACGUCAAGUCAUCAUGCCCCUUACAUCCUGGGCUACACACGUACUACAAUGCUACGGACAAAGGGCAGCAAACUCGCGAGAGCUAGCAAAUCCCAUAAACCGUGGCUCAGUUCAGAUCGUAGGCUGCAACUCGCCUACGUGAAGGAGGAAUCGCUAGUAAUCGCAGGUCAGCAUACUGCGGUGAAUACGU